rnacentral:rRNA from 1 species
UACGUAGGUGGCAAGCGUUGUCCGGAUUUAUUGGGUUUAAAGGGUGCGUAGGCGGCCUUGUAAGUCAGUGGUGAAAUACUCUAGCUUAACUAGAGGGGUGCCAAUGAUACUGCAGGGCUUGAGUACAGAUGAGGUAGGCGGAAUUGACGGUGUAGCGGUGAAAUGCAUAGAUAUCAGGAGGAACACCUGUGGCGAAAGCGGCUCACUGGACCAUAACUGACGCUGAUGCACGAAAGCUAGGGGAGCAAACAGG